UAAUAAGGGCUGUUAGGGGCACUUGGAAUUUUGUUUGAUAUACUGGCAACGCUGGCACAGGGAUGUGCCGGCGAGGUGCAUAUGAACAUGGAUGUGAAUUUGCACCGGUUGCCGGAUAGGCAAAAAAGUAUAUCGAAAUUCCCAGUGCCCCUUACAGUCCUUAUGU
rfam:Roseburia sp. CAG:45 genomic scaffold, scf20